rnacentral:misc_RNA from 1 species
GAAAUGCGAUAAGUAAUGUGAAUUGCAGAAUUCAGUGAAUCAUCGAAUCUUUGAACGCACCUUGCACCCUUUGGUAUUCCGAAGGGUAUGCCUGUUUGAGUGUCAUUGUACUAUCACACCCACAAUUGUGGGAGGUGGACUUGGAGGUUGCUGCGAAAGCAGCUCUUCUUAAAUGCAUAACAUGCUGGGUUAAGCCAUUGCAGUGUAAUAAACAUUUCACUGCAACCUGCACUCACAUGCCUGUCCUUGGACUGUUGCUUGCAACAUUUGACAACUUGACCUCAAAUCAGGUAGGACUACCCGCUGAACUUAA